GUUAAUUAUAUAAACUGAGCUCAAGAUUUAGAGCAUAACAAAGUUCAAAAAAGCUUUCAUCAGCAGAGAACUCAAGUCCAAAAGUUAUAAGAGAAGCUACAAUGCAAUCUGGCUGUGUGAUAAUCACCUAGAGAAGAUACUCAAUCGUGAGCUCUUGCAGAGCAGGGUCCACGUCUUCUUCAUUGUUGUGCUACCUGCGUCAUUUAACACAAGGAAAGUGGUCCAGCAUGUGACAUUGUGUUGGAGCAGGAGCAAUAGGAGCUUCCUGAGAAACUGGUGGACACAGGAGUUCUGAGGAAUACCCAG
rnacentral:lncRNA from 1 species